GCCAGAGUGGCUCAGCGGUUAGAGCGUUCGACUCAUAAUCGAAAGGUCGCGGGUUCGAGUCCCGCCUCUGGCA
rnacentral:tRNA from 1 species